UGGCUGGCGGAUGAUGACGUCACUUUUUUCCCCAUCUGACCGACAGUGCAGAUGUCUUUAAACUUUAAGCCAAUAAAGACUGACGCCAGCCA